rnacentral:rRNA from 1 species
GUAAGAUAGCAAGAGCAUACGGAGGAUGCCUUGGCACAGAGAGGCGAAGAAGGACGUGGCUACCUACGAAAUGCCUCGGCGAGCUGGAAGCAAGCUAUGACCCGAGGAUGUCCGAAUGGGGAAACCCAACAGGGGUCAUGCCCUGUUACCCGAAAGGGAGCAAACCAAGGGAAGUGAAACAUCUCAGUACCUUGAGGAAGAGAAAACAAUAGUGAUUCCCUGAGUAGUGGCGAGCGAAAAGGGAAAAGCCCAAACCCAUAUUCGAAGAAUGUGGGGGUAGUAGGACACCAAUGUGUGACUGUACGAGAUAGUGGAACGGCGUGGGAAAGCCGACCAAAGAGGGUGAGAGUCCCGUAGACGAAAUCUCAAGCAGCACUAGGUUGUUCCUGAGUACCGCGGAGCACGUGAAAUUCUGCGGGAAUCUGCCGGAACCAUCCGGUAAGGCUAAAUACUCCUCUGUGACCGAUAGUGAACCAGUACCGUGAGGGAAAGGUGAAAAGAACCCUUCAGAAGGGAGUGAAAAGAAUCUGAAACCGUAUGCUUACAAACGGUCGGAGCGCGCAAGCGUGACGGCGUGCCUUUUGCUUAAUGAGCCAACGAGUUACUCGUCACAUGCAAGGGUAAGGUCAUAGAUGACCGCACCCGGAGCGAAAGCAAGUCUGAAAAGGGCGUCAAGUGUGUGGCGGUAGACGCGAAACCGUGUGAUCUAUCCAUGGUCAGGAUGAAGUGUGGGUAACACCACAUGGAGGUCCGAACUGGUGCGGGUUGAAAACUGCUCGGAUGAACUGUGGAUAGGGGUGAAAGGCCAAUCAAACUCGGUGAUAGCUCGUACUCCCCGAAAUGUUUUUAGGAACAGCCUCGCAUAUAUGUACCGGAGGUAGGGCUCUGAUUGGGCUAGGGCUGUCACAACGGUACCGAACCCAGAUAAACUUCAAAUACCGGAUACAGUAAGUGCGGGAGUGAGGCAGUGAGGGAUAAGCUUCAUUGCCGAGAGGGAAAGAACCCAGACCGCCGAUUAAGGUCCCCAAGUGUAUGCUAACAGAUAAAGGAUGUGCAGUUGCAUAGACAGCUAGGAUGUUGGCUUAGAAGCAGCCAUUCAUUGAAAGAGUGCGUAAUAGCUCACUAGUCGAGCGACUGUGCGCCGAUAAUACUCGGGACUUCAAGCAUACCACCGAAAUCGCGGACUUAGUAAUAAGUGGUAGGGGAGCAUUCCAUGGGCGGAGAAGCUGUGCUGUGAGGCAUGGUGGAGCGCAUGGAAGAGCAAAUGUUGGCAUUAGUAGCGAGAACGGAAGUGAGAAUCUUCCGCGCCGAAAGUCUAAGGUUUCCUGAGCUCCGUUCGUCGACUCAGGGUUAGGCGGCCCCUAAGGCGAGGCCGAAAGGCGUAGUUGAUGGGAAGCAGGCAAAUUUACAAUAUUCCUGCCCCACCAAAAGAGUUAAACACAGGGACGCAGGAGCGUACUUCCAUAGAAUUAAUGGCUAUUUUUAUGGAACAAAGCAUACUGCCGAGAAAAGCUGUGUGUAUUUCUUCGGUGACCGUACCGCAAACCGACACAGGUAGAUGGGUAGAGUAUACUAAGGCGCGCGAGUGAGCCGUGGUUAAGGAACUCGGCAAAUUAACCCCGUAACUUCGGGAGAAGGGGUGCCAUCUUCGGAUGGUCGCAGAGAAACGGCCCAAGCGACUGUUUAGCAAAAACACAUCUCUCUGCUAACACGUAAAGUGGACGUAUAGGGAGUGACACCUGCCCGGUGCCGGAAGGUUAAGAGGAGAGGUUAGGAGCAAUCCAACGCUUUGAAUCGAAGCCCCGGUAAACGGCGGCCGUAACUAUAACGGUCCUAAGGUAGCGAAAUUCCUUGUCGGGUAAGUUCCGACCUGCACGAAUGGUGUAACGAUUUGG